rnacentral:rRNA from 1 species
GGUAAUGGCUCACCAAGGCAUCGAUCAAUAGGGGGUCUGAGAGGAUGUCCCCCCACACUGGUACUGAGACACGGACCAGACUCCUACGGGAGGCAGCAGUAGGGAAUAUUGGACAAUGGGCGCAAGCCUGAUCCAGCCAUGCCGCGUGCAGGAUGAAGGCCCUAUGGGUCGUAAACUGCUUUUGUACGGGAAGAAACCUGAUUACGUGUAAUCAGCUGACGGUACCGUGAGAAUAAGGAUCGGCUAACUUCGUGCCAGCAGCCGCGGUAAUACGAAGGAUCCAAGCGUUGUCCGGAUUUACUGGGUUUAAAGGGAGCGUAGGCGGACUUUUAAGUCAGUGGUGAAAGCUUGCAGCUUAACUGUGAAAUUGCCAUUGAAACUGAAAGUCUCGAGUAUGGUUGAGGUGACUGGAAUAUAUCAUGUAGCGGUGAAAUGCUUAGAUAUGAUAUAGAACACCAAUUGCGAAGGCAGGUCACUAAACCAUAACUGACGCUGAGGCUCGAAAGCGUGGGGAUCAAACAGGAUUAGAUACCCUGGUAG